AACAGGAUUAGAUACCCUGGUAGUCCACGCCGUAAACGAUGAGUGCUAGGUGUUGGGGGGCUACGCCCCUCAGUGCCGAAGGUAACCCAUUAAGCACUCCGCCUGGGGAGUACGGCCGCAAGGCUGAAACUCAAAGGAAUUGACGGGGGCCCGCACAAGCGGUGGAGCAUGUGGUUUAAUUCGAAGCAACGCGAAGAACCUUACCAGGGCUUGACAUCCCGCUGACCCCUCCAGAGAUGGAGGUUUCCUUCGGGACAGCGGUGACAGGUGGUGCAUGGUUGUCGUCAGCUCGUGUCGUGAGAUGUUGGGUUCAGUCCCGCAACGAGCGCAACCCUUGUCGUUAGUUGCCAGCAUUUCGGAUGGGCACUCUAACGAGACAGCCGGUGAAAGCCGGAGGAAGGUGGGGAUGACGUCAAAUCAUCAUGCCCCUUAUGUCCUGGGCUACACACGUGCUACAAUGGCUGGUACAAAGGGCAGCGAACCCGCGAGGGGGAGCCAAUCCCAAAAAGCCAGUCUCAGUUCGGAUCGCAGGCUGCAACUCGCCUGCGUGAAGCCGGAAUCGCUAGUAAUCGCGGAUCAGCAUGCCGCGGUGAAUAUGUUCCCGGGCCUUGUACACACCGCCCGUCACACCACGAGAGUUUGCAACACUCGAAGUCGGUGAGGCAACCUUUUAGGAGCCAGCCGCCGAAGGUGGGGCAGAUGAUUGGGGUGAAGUCGUAACAAGGUAACC
rnacentral:rRNA from 1 species